AUUCAAGUAGCUUAAAUUUUAAAGCAUAAUAUUGAAGAUAUUAGGAUAAGUUUAUACUUCUUGAAUA
rnacentral:tRNA from 1 species